rnacentral:rRNA from 1 species
UACGUAGGGGGCAAGCGUUGUCCGGAUUUAUUGGGCGUAAAGAGCGUGUAGGCGGCCAUUCAGGUCAGCUGUGAAAACUCGAGGCUCAACCUCGAGACGUCGGUUGAAACCGUUUGGCUAGAGUCCGGAAGAGGAGAGUGGAAUUCCCGGUGUAGCGGUGAAAUGCGCAGAUAUCGGGAGGAACACCAAUGGCGAAGGCAGCUCGCUGGGACGUUACUGACGCUGAGACGCGAAAGCGUGGGGAGCAAACAGG